CCUCCUUAUACUACCCCGAGAUACCAACUCCUAUACUACGGAUGAUAACUACUUUUCCUGAUUAUUCAUCUAUUCUACGUGCUGAACCACCUUUUUAGCAAUUAUCUAUCCCUAUUUUUACAAUACACUAGAUAUCUACAUUUUGAAAAUAACUACUUAUUCUACAUAACUCCACUCCUAACUGUGCAGCAUCCCCACAAAUACAGUAUUGAUA
rnacentral:lncRNA from 1 species